rnacentral:tRNA from 1 species
AAGUGUUAAAUAGAUUUUUACUAUAUUAAGUUGCGGUCUUAAGAGAAUUUACACUUU